UCCUCUUUUUUUUUUAAUAAAAAAAAAUCUGUUCUUACCAGUUUAAUCUCUGUUUUGUCCCCUAUCAGGGGUCUGGUGUAUGGAAUAGAUUUUAGGAGCCAGGAGAUGGAAAAAGAUGCUUGGUCGGUCCUCUUACUUCCAAUUUGGGGCACUGCGCGUGCAAUAUACUGUGCCACCAGAUAGAAAUA